rnacentral:rRNA from 1 species
GGGAGGCAGCAGUGGGGAAUAUUGGNCAAUGGGCGCAAGCCUGAUCCAGCCAUACCGCGUGGGUGAAGAAGGCCUUCGGGUUGUAAAGCCCUUUUGUUGGGAAAGAAAUCCAGNCGGCUAAUACCCGGUUGGGAUGACGGUACCCAAAGAAUAAGCNCCGGCUAACUUCGUGCCAGCAGCCGCGGUAAUACGAAGGGUGCAAGCGUUACUCGGAAUUACUGGGCGUAAAGCGUGCGUAGGUGGUCGUUUAAGUCCGUUGUGAAAGCCCUGGGCUCAACCUGGGAACUGCAGUGGAUACUGGGCGACUAGAGUGUGGUAAAGGGUANCGGAAUUCCUGGUGUAGCAGUGAAAUGCGUAAAGAUCNGGAGGAACAUCCAUGGCGAAGGCAGCUACCUGGACCAACACUGACACUGAGGCACGAAAGCGUGGGGAGCAAACAGGAUUAGAUACCCUGGUAGUCCACGCCCUAAACGAUGCGAACUGGAUGUUGGGUGCAAUUUGGCACGCAGUAUCGAANCUAACGCGUUAAGUUCGCCGCCUGGGGAGUACGGUCGCAAGACUGAAACUCAAAGGAAUU